AUUGAACGCUGGCGGCAGGCCUAACACAUGCAAGUCGAACGAGUGGCGGACGGGUGAGUAAUGUCUGGGAAACUGCCUGAUGGAGGGGGAUAACUACUGGAAACGGUAGCUAAUACCGCAUACAAUCAGAUGUGCCCAGAUGGGAUUAGCUAGUUGGGGGGGUAACGGCUCACCAAGGCGACGACCCCUAGCUGGUCUGAGAGGAUGACCAGAAAGAAUGGAAAGGAGCCACGGUCCAGAAUCCUACGGGAGGCAGCAGUGGGGAAUAUUGGAAAAUGGGGGCAACCCUGAUGCAGCCAUGCCGCGUGUAUGAUGAAGGCCUUGGGGUUGUAAAGUACUUUCAGCGGGGAGGCGUUACCCGCAGAAGAAGCACCGGCUAACUCCGUGCCAGCAGCCGCGGUAAUUC
rnacentral:rRNA from 1 species